rnacentral:rRNA from 1 species
UACGGAGGGAGCUAGCGUUGUUCGGAAUUACUGGGCGUAAAGCGCACGUAGGCGGCUUUUUAAGUCAGGGGUGAAAUCCCGGGGCUCAACCUCGGAACUGCCCUUGAAACUGGGAAGCUAGAAUCUUGGAGAGGCGAGUGGAAUUCCGAGUGUAGAGGUGAAAUUCGUAGAGAUUCGGAAGAACACCAGUGGCGAAGGCGACUCGCUGGACAAGUAUUGACGAUGAGGUGCGAAAGAGUGGGGAGCAAACAGG